UACGAAGGGGGCUAGCGUUGCUCGGAAUUACUGGGCGUAAAGGGUGCGUAGGCGGCCCGCUAAGUCGAACGUGAAAUCCCCGAGCUCAACUCGGGAACUGCGUCCGAUACUGGUGGGCUUGAAUCCGGGAGAGGGAUGCGGAAUUCCAGGUGUAGCGGUGAAAUGCGUAGAUAUCUGGAGGAACACCGGUGGCGAAGGCGGCAUCCUGGACCGGCAUUGACGCUGAGGCGCGAAAGCGUGGGGAGCAAACAGG
rnacentral:rRNA from 1 species